UACGGGGGGAGCAAGCGUUGUUCGGAUUUACUGGGCGUAAAGGGCGCGUAGGCGGCCAGCACAAGUCAGUUGUGAAAUCUCCGAGCUUAACUCGGAAAGGUCAACUGAUACUGUGCGGCUAGAGUGCGGAAGGGGCAACUGGAAUUCUUGGUGUAGCGGUGAAAUGCGUAGAUAUCAAGAGGAACACCUGCGGCGAAGGCGGGUUGCUGGGCCGACACUGACGCUGAGGCGCGAAAGCCAGGGGAGCAAACGGG
rnacentral:rRNA from 1 species